GUCAGGGCUGGGCUCCCUGGGCACCAUGUUGGGGCCAUCGUGCUCGGCAAAGGCCUGCUUCUCUCUGCCUGCCUCAUCUCCGGGCUCACAGGGCCGGAUUGUGGGAGGUCAGGUUAGGGGACACUGUCCAGUGCAGGGCCCGGGGACUGGCCUCAGCCAACCUUCGCACCAGGCCCCAAACUCGGUGGGUCCUGCCCUUCAUGCUUGGGGGAAAGAUGGCAGCCCAGCUGGCUGCUGUCCCUGGUCCUGAGAGCCCCACAGUAGACACUGCAAGUGCCAGUCAUGCCCUGCUGUGAUUCCACCAUUGCAGUGUGGCCCUAGGUACAAGUUGCCAUGACCACCUGAUGCCACUAACCUGGUGGCCCAAGGGUGGGCACUGAGGGCAGCCUCGUGCUGCUGCUGCUGGCCAGGGAACUGUGUGUUGGGAUGCACUGGAUGAGGGAGCAGAGGUCGCCAGGAGACUGAGGUGAAAGCUGUUCGGUGUCCCAGGUGCCUCCUCUUGGGGUCCAGGACAGCAGAGUCAGGAGUAGCCUGACGUGGGUCAGGAAGGAGCCGCUCAGCCCUGGCCCCUGCAGAUUUCGCCACCUCCAACUGCUCCCUGUCACCCAUAGAGAACUCGGGCACCUGAGUCAGGAGGACCCAUCACCCAGGAGGCCUGGUUAGGGGACCCUCCCUCCCCUGAACAUGGUGGCCGGGAUGGAGCUGGGGGAGCAUCUCGGGGCUGCCCCAGGGCAGGGACCAUGCCGAGGGUCACCCAUUGGCCACCCAGAGCAGCUCCUUCAUCUGGGGACAAAGGGCAUUUCGUGAUCUUCUCACGAUGGGCUACCAACUUCCUCACGGCAGGCUGGCCCACAGCCUGGACUCUCGGGUAACCGUGGGCACUGACAAGCCUUGUCCUUUGUUCCCUUCUUUCCUCCUUCCCGCCCUUUUCUCUUCCUUCCUUCCAUUGAUGGGGACUGGCCUCAGCCAACCUUCGCACCAGGCCCCAAACGCGGUGGGUCCUGCCCUUCAUGCUUGGGGGAAAGAUGGCAGCCCAGCUGGCUGCUGUCCCUCGUCCUGAGAGCCCCACAGUAGACACUGCAAGUGCCAGUCAUGCUCUGCUGUGAUUCCACCAUUGCAGUCCUAGGGUUUGAAUCCAGUCCCUCGCACAUGCGAGGCAAGCACCCAGCCACUGAGCCACGUCCCCAGGCCUUUUUAUUUUGAGACAGGGUCUUGCUAAGUUGCCCAUGCUGGCCUCAAAUUCAAGAGCCUCCCGCCUCUCCCUCCAGAGAAGCUGGUAUUACAAGCGUCCAGCAUCUCACCCAGCUCCAAAGCUUCUGCUUCAUACAAACCAAGGAGAAGCAGCUAUUUCUUGUUUUUCUGGUCUUUAAAAUAACUUUUUGACACAUCCAGGUGACUUUGCUUGGGGAUGGCAGGUUUUCUUCAUCUUGGCCAGGAAACUUUAUUAAACUCUAGCUGGGUUUGGGGGUGGGCCCAGGAAAGGGGCAACAUGGGCAUCACAAUGCAGCAGGACACGGGCUGUGGGCAGUCCUGCUGGGCGGGUGGUGCACACCUGUAAGCCCAGCACUCGGAGGCUGAAGCAGGACAAUGGCCACAAGUUCUCAACCACACUGGACUCUCGGUGAGUUCAAGUCCAGCCUGAACUAGAUAGUGAGACCCUGUCUCCAAAAGCCAACACCAAAGACAGACGAACUCAGCGAAAGUGCAGUUCUCCAGGAAGAACAAGUGGCUGUCAGAGGGACAGUCCAGGAGAAGCCAAGUCACCCGAGACCCUCUGACAGUGCUUGGGUUCAUUCCUCUGGCUUUUUUAACAUGGGAACCGGUCAGAACUUUUCCGCGGCAUAAAUAUCCGUGAACCUCAGGAGUGGGAACAUGAUGAACAGAAAAAACUGACUGGGGCGGCGUGACGUGUGUUUGUAGGUCCUGAGAUGGCCUGAGGUCUGAAUAAGAAAAUAUCUCUUAUAAAUGUGACAAAGCUCUCCCUUUAAUUACAGCACUCUGAAAGGUAGACAUCAUGGCCACGUAGGGAUGAUGUGGAAAUCGCUUCACACUCACAAAACAGCUUGUGUCGAGAUGACGCACCUGAAACCUGAUUCCCUGGCACAAGUCUGCUGUCAGAAUGUCACCACUGUCCAGGCACCCCUAUAAUCCCAGUGAUACCCCUAUAAUCCUGGCAUCAGGAGGCCGAGGCAGGAAGAUUAUUUUGAGUUCAAGACAAACCUGUCUCAAAAACAGAAAAUCACUGUCACCAAACCCGGGUCCUCGGAGGCAGCAAGUGUGCUCAUUUAAACGGCAGGAAGAUGAAUGUGAACUGCUCUUCAGAUUGGGGCAUCUGAUUCAAUUCCUUAGGAUGCCCCAGCCUCUCGGGCCUGCUGGUGUAUUUCCAGGGGCGCUGUCUCCUGUUACUGACUGUUCCCGUCAAGGGUACCCCGGGUGCAGCGUACCUAAACCAGCCUCCAGAAUGUCCACUCAGUGUUAGGUCCCUUGACUUCUGAGCCCCCAAACUUCAGCAAGCACAGGCCGACCAUGGCCGCCUGGACACCCAGCUUCCUUCAUCAGCUGCCACGUGGCCUUGGCAGACCCUGGAGGCCUCAGAGCGGAGGCCAGGACUUCUCACCAGCCCCAAGUGGUGUCAGCAUGGACUGGGAGCCCUGGCAUGAAAGGCCCGGGUUACAACGAUCACAGCCCCAAGUGGUGUCAGCAUGGACUGGGAGCCCUGGCAUGAAAGGCCCGGGUUACAACGACUAGCCACGUCCUUCAGCACCUUGGUCCUCGGGCCACCGAAGGAUCCCAUUCACCUUCACAAGCACAGAGUCCUGUCUAUGCUCAGUGUGAGGGUGUGCAAGGCCCUGCCCAGCGGUGCUCACACCUGUGCUCCUCUGCCCCACGGCACAGCAGUUUCCUAGGGGCUGGGCCAGGCCAGAGCCAGCGUGUGCAGCCCCGGCGUCCACGCAGCCACUUAGAAGCAGCCCAGCUGUGCAGGGACUAUUUUCCCUGUUUCUUUAAAAAAAUAAAAUAAAAAGCUUUCAGAGGAGACUUUUAGCCAUUGACUCAAAAUGCUAGAAUUGCGACUCCUUGGGCUCAAGAGCUGCAGAGACGGGAGAACAGCCCAAGGGAGUCCUGGCAUGAAGGGUCUGGGCUUUGGAAGAGCUGGUCGCCUUGUGAGCACCGCACAGCGGCGACACAGUGACACCUGCACCCCAGUGUCCGGUGCGUGGCACUGUUGCUUCACCAGAGCCGGCAGGAUUUAAAAGGCCCUGUGCCGCCCUGUUUGCAGUGGGUCAUGGCCCUCAGAUGGCUGCCUGCCUGCGGCUUGGAUUGUUAUCCAUCGAGGACUAGGACACAAAUUGCUCCCCUACCCAGUGGAGGACAGGAGCCCGGCAACACCCUCCUCAGACCAAAUCGAGGCCAUGUUGAAUCCACAAGCAGCUGCCAUGCAGGACGCAGCUCUGUGCGCAGGCGCGGGGUGGGGCUGGUCCCUGGCCCUUGGGUGGCCACAGGGAGCCCAUGUGACUGCACCACCUCAGGCCUUGCAUCUUUUCAGCCAUGACAUCUGCCACUCCUGGGUGUCUGUGUUACCCACAACCUUGUCCCACUGCAGCGACCUGGGUCCCUCUGCCACAAUCCUUCUGCAUGCACCAUCCCAGGUUCCAGCUGACAUGCAAAAACCCCUUCCCAGGUCCGGAGGACAAGUGCGCGAAGUGGAGAGGAGGUUGGCAACUCGACCCGGGACUGCAAGAUGCCUGGGACCCGCAGGCAGCUUGAGACGAGGUCACCUGAGGUACCCCUUUCUCUGCAGUGGCCCCAGGGCCCCUGCACAUCGAGGUCAUCCCAGACAGCCCGCUCCCCUCUCCCUGCUCCUUCCAAGUGGAUCCCGGGCCGGGCUGCCCAGUGACACUCUACACACAUGGCAAGAAAACGACAAGUGUCCUUCUCGGUCAUCUGCAGCCUCCCGUGUCCAGCUCUGGAGGGGAAAGUGACAGUCCAUCCACAGCACCUCCGACGUUGGGUCCCAGGCUGGGAAGUGACUACAGGUCACCCCCAGCCACCGUCCCCACCAGCAUCUCCAGGGCCCAGGGACUGAGGCCGCACGGGCCCACUGUAGGCCAAGUCCCGGCACCUUGAGCACAGCCAGCAGCGGCAGCAUCACCCUGCGGCUGCUGUUCAGUCAAGUUCCGCUGCGAUUCACCUAAAUGCUGAGGAGCCUGGAAACCCCUGGGCCUGUGCUGGCUGCACCUGUCCACGAACCCCGAGAAUGUACCUGUUAGUGAGGUGCUGCUCAGGGCUCCCCGGGUCUAGUCCCUAGCACUACAAAGAAAAAGAAGUAGGGACUGGCUCAUGAGGUCCCCCUGAGCUGUAUCCCAAGGUGGCUCAGCCUGCCCAUGCCCUCAGCCAGGGACUGUAGGCCCGCCGUCCUCUGCCCCCUCCUGACCUGAGCAGGGAGAGGCCAGGAAGACCACCCUGUGCAGAGCACCCUUGUCUCCCCAACCUCCCACUCCACACCCCCCAAGUCUGCCGGUCCUGAGCCCAUGUGAAGGACAUCAGGAGGACAGGAGCGCAAAUGAGGAAGGCUCGACGCAGUGACAUCUCCUGGCCACCAGGAGGCUCUCCGCUUCCUGCCGCACAGGGAGGUGAGGGGACCCUGGUCACCCGCCCUCUCCAGCAGCUCCUCCCUCGCCCAGUCCAUCUGUGACACGAAGUAUAAACAGGAAAUGCCAUCGGACCACCAGGGGCCCGGGAGGUCACACCCUGCCGCCCAGGACCCACACCCUGGAAGUUCUGCAGAGCUGGACCGAGGUCAGGAGAGAAGCCACCCCGAGCUCCACAUCAGGAGAAUCUGGCUGGAAAAAAGCUUAAUACUCAAUGAACCUGUUUUCCUAGAAGAAAAGCAAAAAGAAAUAGAAAGAAAGAAAGCGAAGGAAGGAAGGAAGGAAAGAAGAGAGAGCGAUCACACUCCCGGCUGCCUUCGCGGCUGUCUCCUUCUCCCAGGUCCCUACCAUCUUCCUUUUAAGGGCAUCCAGAUCUGAUUUAUCUAUGCGCAGAUGAGAUUCAAGUCUGUAUUUGUAGCAAUCAUUUAUUAAAUUUACCCCACCUUAUUAAAUGA